rnacentral:rRNA from 1 species
GACGAACGCUGGCGGCGUGCCUAACACAUGCAAGUCGAACGGGGCCCGCAAGGGUUCAGUGGCGGACGGGUGCGUAACACGUGAAGAACAUGUCUUUCGGUGGGGGAGUAGCCGGCCCAACGGCCGGGUAAUACCGCAUACGCUGUUCGGGGCUCAUGCCCUGAAUCGGAAAGCAGCAAUGCGCCGAUAGAGUGCUUCGCGGCCUAUCAGCUAGUUGGUGAGGUAANGGCUCACCAAGGCGACGACGGGUAGCUGGUCUGAGAGGAUGGCCAGCCACAUUGGGACUGAGACACGGCCCAGACUCCUACGGGAGGCAGCAGUGGGGAAUAUUGCGCAAUGGGCGAAAGCCUGACGCAGCGACGCCGCGUGUGGGAUGAAGGCC